CUGAAUAGAGAAUUCAGUGUUUCUUCCAAUGUGACCCAAAGAUCCCCUGCAGAAGAAUCAACUGAGUGAUUUGGUCACAAUGCACAUGGCUGGCCCAACCCUGGACUCAAGGUAUCAGACUCUGAGGGUGGGGUCUGGAGAUCUACAUUCUAAGCAAUCAGAUAGUCUUGUGCCCAUCAAAGUUUGAGUAAAAACCUUCUCAACAGUCUAUCUCUCUCUGUCUCUUCCGUCAUCAGCCUCAUCCAUCCCAGCGCUGUCUCUUGCCUGGGCGAUGGCAAUAACCUGACCUCCCUGACUUCUCUUAUUCUUCGGCUCCUGCAGCCUGUUUUCCACAUGGCUGGCAGAGCAUGCCUGGCCAUGCCCGCUUGCUCCUUAAGGCACCCCUUGGUGGCCUUCGCUUAUCACUAGGGUAAAGACUACAGCUCUGAAUACUGCCUAAAGGGCCUCACAUAGGCCGACCUCCAUGUAUCUUGCAAAUCUCAUCUUGCACAGGUCUUUCCCCUCAUGCUACCCUGUCUUC
rnacentral:lncRNA from 10 species